rnacentral:rRNA from 1 species
AUACGGAGGAUCCGAGCGUUAUCCGGAUUUAUUGGGUUUAAAGGGUGCGCAGGCGGCCAUUUAAGUCAGCGGUUAAAUCGUGGGGCUCAACCCCAUUCUGCCGUUGAUACUGGGUGGCUUGAUUGCGGUCGAGGUUGGCGGAAUUCGUUGUGUAGCGGUGAAAUGCAUAGAUAUGACGAGGAACACCGAUUGCGUAGGCAGCUGACCAGACCGCAAAUGACGCUCAUGCACGAAAGUGCGGGGAUCGAACAGGAUUAGAUACCCUGGUAGUCCGCACAGUAAACGAUGAAUACUUGUUUUCGGCGAUAUAAUGUCGGAGGCAAAGCGAAAGCGAUAAGUAUUCCACCUGGGGAGUACGCCGGCAACGGUGAAACUCAAAGGAAUUGACGGGG